CUGCCUGCUGGAUGCUUCCUGGGAGCCGCUCCAGAUUUGCUGUUAUCCCUGUUGAGGCCAAAGUGGUUUGAAAAAUUAAAAAUCCUUGACACCA